UCCAUUACAUAUAAUUAAUAAAUUUCUUGGA
rnacentral:piRNA from 1 species